AUUGAACGCUGGCGGCAGGCUUAACACAUGCAAGUCGAACGAGUGGCGGACGGGUGAGUAAUGCUUGGGAAUCUAGCUUAUGGAGGGGGAUAACUACGGGAAACUGUAGCUAAUACCGCGUACCUUAGGAUGGGCCCAAGUGGGAUUAGGUAGUUGGUGAGGUAAAGGCUCACCAAGCCGACGAUCUCUAGCUGGUCUGAGAGGAUGACCAGCCACACGGGGACUGAGACACGGCCCAGAGUCCUACGGGAGGCAGCAGUGGGGAAUAUUGCGCAUGGGGGGCAACCGGACGCAGCCGUGCCGCGUGAAUGAAGAAGGCCUUCGGGUUGGAAAGUACUUUCGGGUGCGAGGCGUUAACUACAGAAGAAGCCCCGGCUAACUGCGUGCCAGCAGCCGCGGUAAUUC
rnacentral:rRNA from 1 species